rfam:Pan troglodytes isolate Yerkes chimp pedigree #C0471 (Clint) chromosome 5, whole genome shotgun sequence.
ACCACCCUCGGCCUUUUGGCUACGAUCAAGUGUUAGUAUCUAUUCUUAUCAGUUUAACAAAAAUGUUUUAGAAGUAGAACAAGAAUUUUCAUAUUGACUUUCCACCCAUU